CCUACGGGUGGCUGCAGUGAGGAAUAUUGGUCAAUGGGCGCGAGCCUGAACCAGCCAAGUAGCGUGAAGGAUGACUGCCCUACGGGUUGUAAACUUCUUUUAUAAAGGAAUAAAGUGAGGUACGUGUGCCUUUUUGUACGUACUUUAUGAAUAAGGAUCGGCUAAUCCUGUGCCAGCAGCCGCGGUAAUACGGAGGAUCCGAGCGUUAUCCGGAUUUAGUGGGUUUAAAGGGAGCGUAGAUGGGUUGUUAAGUCAGUGGUGAAAGUUUGCGGCUCAACCGUAAAAUUGCAAUUGAUACUGGCAGUCUUGAGUACAGUUGAGGUAGGCGGAAUUCGUGGUGUAGCGGUGAAAUGCUUAGAUAUCACGAAGAACUCCGAUUGCGAAAGCAGCUUACUAAACUGCCACUGACAUUGAUGCUCGAAAGUGUGGGUAUCAAACAGGAUUAGAUACCCUGGUAGUC
rnacentral:rRNA from 1 species